rnacentral:rRNA from 1 species
CUUAACUGUGGAAUUGCCUUUGAUACUGCUCACCUUGAGUCCAGCUGAGGUAGGCGGAAUGUAGUAUGUAGCGGUGAAAUGCUUAGAUAUACUACAGAACACCGAUUGCGAAGGCAGCUUACCAAACUGGCACUGACGCUCAGGCACGAAAGCGUGGGGAGCGAACAGGAUUAGAUACCCUGGUAGUCCACGCCGUAAACGUUGAUCACUCGUUGUUGGCAAUACACCGUCAGCGACCUAGCUAAUGCGCUAAGUGAUCCACCUGGGGAGUACGAUCGCAAGGUUGAAACUCAAAGGAAUUGACGGGGGCCCGCACAAGCGGAGGAGCAUGUGGUUUAAUUCGAUGAUACGCGAGGAACCUUACCUGGGCUUAAAUGUAGUGUGCAUUCCCGUGAAAACGGGAUUUCCUUCGGGACCCACUACAAGGUGCUGCAUGGUUGUCGUCAGCUCGUGCCGUGAGGUGUCGGGUUAAGUCCCAUAACGAGCGCAACCCCUAUCUUUAGUUGCUAACAGGUCAUGCUGAGGACUCUAAAGAAACUGCCCGCGCAAGCGGUGAGGAAGGUGGGGAUGACGUCAAAUCAGCACGGCCCUUAUGUCCAGGGCUACACACGUGCUACAAUGGCAGGUACAGUGGGCAGCUAUCACGCAAGUGAAUGCUAAUCUCUAAAACCUGUCUCAGUCCGGAUUGGAGUCUGCAACCCGACUCCAUGAAGCUGGAUUCGCUAGUAAUCGCACAUCAGCCAUGGUGCGGUGAAUACGUUCCCGGGCCUUGUACACACCGCCCGUCAAGCCAUGGAAGCUGGGAGUACCUGAAGUCUGUAACCGUAAGGAGCGG